rnacentral:tRNA from 1 species
CAGAGUAUAGCUAAACUAGCAAAGCAUCUCCCUUACAACGAGAAGACAUCCGUGCAACCCGGAUUACCCUGA